UGUUUGGCAUACACACAGUCAACUUCAGUGGCCUCUUUGCGUUAUGGAUAGUAACAGAUUUGCCGACUGGCUGGGAAGAAGCAUAUACUUUUGAAGGUGCAAGAUACUAUAUAAAAAAUGGAGAAAGCAGAAUGAAGAUACAGGAAUGGAGUACAGUUUCAUGAUGUGGUCCUUCCCUGGAUAUGUUUGAUUUGCAUCUUUUAUUUGGAGA